rnacentral:rRNA from 1 species
UACGUAGGUGGCAAGCGUUGUCCCGGAUUUAUUGGGUUUAAAGGGUGCGUAGGCGGUCUAUUAAGUCAGUGCUGAAAUAUCCCGGCUUAACCGGGAGGUGGCAUUGAUACUGAUGGACUUGAGUAAAGUUGAGGUUGGCGAAUUGACGGUGUAGCGGUGAAAAUGCUUAGAUACUCGUCAAGAACACCUAUUGCGAAGGCAGCU